UCGGGUGUGGUGUACGGUGCACGGCAGCUUCAGUUAUGUGGUGGGAGAUUAAAAUCUCAGCUGCCGACCGGGGCUCGACUCCCCGCGCCCGAA